rnacentral:rRNA from 1 species
GAUGAACGCUGGCGGCGUGCCUAAUACAUGCAAGUCGAGCGAACAGAUAAGGAGCUUGCUCCUUUGACGUUAGCGGCGGACGGGUGAGUAACACGUGGAUAACCUACCUAUAAGACUGGGAUAACUUCGGGAAACCGGAGCUAAUACCGGAUAACAUAUUGAACCGCAUGGUUCAAUAGUGAAAGGCGGCUUUGCUGUCACUUAUAGAUGGAUCCGCGCCGUAUUAGCUAGUUGGUAAGGUAACGGCUUACCAAGGCAACGAUACGUAGCCGACCUGAGAGGGUGAUCGGCCACACUGGAACUGAGACACGGUCCAGACUCCUACGGGAGGCAGCAGUAGGGAAUCUUCCGCAAUGGGCGAAAGCCUGACGGAGCAACGCCGCGUGAGUGAUGAAGGUCUUCGGAUCGUAAAACUCUGUUAUCAGGGAAGAACAAAUGUGUAAGUAACUGUGCACAUCUUGACGGUACCUGAUCAGAAAGCCACGGCUAACUAC